UUUUUCUUUUUCUUUUUUUUUUUUUUUUUUGCUCUUUAGGGCCACACCCGUGGCAUAUGGAGGUUCCCAGGCUAGGGGUCCAAUUGGAGCUACAGCGGCAGGCCUACACCACAGCCACAGUAACGCAGGAUCUGAGCCACACCUGCAACCUACACCACAGCUCACAGCAACACCAGAUCCUUAACCCACUGAGUGAGGCCAGGGAUAGAACCCACCACUUCAUGGUUCCUAGUCGGUGUUGUUUCCACUGCGCCACAACAGGAACUCCUAAACCUGAAUUUUUAAUCUUAAGGAUGUAUCCCUCUAUCCUCAUGGAUGUUGAGUUGAUCACAUGGAUUUAACAGUGUGUGUGUAUAUAUAUAUAUAUAUAUAUAUAGAGAGAGAGAGAGAGAGAGAGAGAGAAAUUAUUAUGGCUUGUUCUACUUAGCCUAUUGGUGUGGUCUGUUAGCUGAUAGUAAAUGCCAAAGGCAAACUGACAUCAACCUCUUAAUCUAAAUGUUUGCAAACAUUCCUCAUUUAAACAAUAUUAGCAUAUUAGCCAAAUCACUGCUAAUUCGAGCAACCACUGACUUGGAUGGUUUGUCAACUAAGAGCAUAGCACGUCAGAAAUAAUUUAUGUACAUACAUGUUUCCUUAUUCAAGGUAGGGCCGACUACAAAGACUAUGGCAUAUACAGUUUUAUUCGAAAUUAGGUUUUUAUUUGAGGAGCAUUUCUAGCUGGUCUGCCCUCCUCCCUGCUGCAUCAUUUUCUAUGGAUUGACUUCCUCUUGAUCUCCUCAGUUUUUUCCCAUUCCUGGAGAACUGAGUUUGGCUCCUAUCAUAGGGUCAAUGAGGCUUAUGGAUCUCACACUGAUCCAGACAACGAUACCUGCCAAUCAUACUCAUUUUGUUCUCAUUACUCAAACUUUGAGAACUGUUCCCUCCUAACUACUUAUAAGAAUCUCUUUCUCUCUCUCUUUUUUUUUUUAAUGGCCACACCCAGGGCAUAUGGAAGCUCCCAGGCUAGGGGUCAAAUUGGACCUGCAGCUACUGGCCUUCACCACAGCCACAGCAACGCCUUCUCUUAAUAUCCAGCAUUCCCACUAAUAAUUCCUCUCCAGUCUCAACAGACUCAAAUUCAUCAAGUAUUUCUUGAACACUACCUAACCUUUCUUGAGAAAACUGUGUUCUAGGUUCUGUUCUAAGAAAUUUGCACCCAUGUAUUUAUUUAAUCUUUUCAAUUCUGUGAGAUGGGCGUUAGAGUUAUUCCUGUUUUCCAAAUAAGAAAACAGAUGCAUAGAGGUGCUAAAUAAAUAAUUUUUCAAAGUCACACAGCUGAACAUAGUCUGAAGGUGGAUCCCACGUUGUUAAGCUCUACUUACCGUGCUUACUAGGGACGAGAUGGUGCCAAACAUUUCACAGACUUUUAUCUUAUUUAAUCCUCAAAACUUCUGUAAUGUAUGCUUUAUAACAAAACCCUAGACUAAACAGAAUACCAGUUACAAACAUGUAACUAAAACCCAGAAGCUCCUAACUCUCAAUUCAGUGCUCCUGCUAUGAAAUCAUGGACGUGAGUGAUGCUACCUAUAUGGAUUCGGGAGACAAAGGAACAAACAGUGUUGAAUUGUUGAGACCCUAUCAUGUCCCAAACAUCCUCUAUAUAUCAUAACAUUUAUCCCUUUCAAUAACUCUGUGAGGUAUACUAACCUCAUUUUAUAGAUUAGGAAUCUAAGGCUUAAAAAGAUGAAGUAAAUUGCCCAAGAUGACAUAAGUGAUCCAGGAUACAAGCCCAGGUUGACCUGGACUAAAGCCUAAGGCUCUCCUCCGAGCAGGGAUGUGCAGGAUAGAAGGAAGGCGAGACUGCAAAGGAGGGAGAAGGCAAGGGGAGGGGAUCUACGAGGUUGUGGGGGGUUGUGACACUCUCAGUUCAUGGAGCUUUGCUGGUAACCUCUCUUUCCUGUUUCCCAAACCUAUCCUUGCCUGUCAUCUGCCGCCGUCUUCUCCCCACCCCCGCCCCUCGUAUCUCCACGCUCUAUUGGGCUCUGGAUUUAGAGUCCUCUGGAAACAUCCGCAGGAGGAGGGCAAAGUGAGGACUUCCAGAGGGAGUCAGAUAAAAGAAACCGUCCUGCUUUGGCAGUGCUCUCUGAUUACAGGAGGAAGAGAAGGUAGGGUCUCUGCAGCAUUUCCUUGUCCUGUUGCUUCAGCUUUCUUUUAUAUACACACUUUAAGUCUUAUCCUAUCUAGCAGGUCAUCUUAGAAGGAUUCUGGGUCAAAGCUAUCUGAAUAAAGUAAGUGGAUCCUGUUACCUGCUCCAUCCCCUUCAAGGAAUCGUCUCCCCUGUUUUCUUUCCACCCAAUAUACCCAUCUUCCUAAUCCCCCCCAUACCUAAGACAACCCAGACCCCUAGCAGCAUUUCUCACAUCUGGUCCAUUCUGAUACUUAGACAAUAAGACUUCCUUUAUUUUUUUCUACCCAGAGCUGGCUUUUGUAUUUUAUGCGUACUCUGCCUCGCCUCCCUAACAGCUUUCAUGAUCCCCAGUCCUAGUCUAGCCUUUCUAUAUUACAGUUACCUUCACCUAAUCUUCCUCUUGUAUCUCUUGUCUAUAUAUCAAGUUUAUUUUACCCUAGUAAUGCUCUAUGUCUGUAGAAAUAUGGGUAGCUGUAGAGGGAGAUAACUAACAAACUGAAAUGUGGGAAAUAAAUAAGAAUCCCUAGGAGUGGGAAUGGGGGUUUUGACAGAAACAGUAUGUACAGAUCACAGACUUAGAGAGCAUCACAACACGUGUAGAGGCGGAAAAGGGUGGGUGAUGACUGGACCACUGUAGCACAGUUAAAAGGAGAGACGGUAAUGCAUUACUGAGGGAUUUUUAAAAUCUGUUCCCCCAAAUCAAAUGCUUUGGGGAGUCAUCUUCUAUGUAAAAUCUCACUUUAGAAACAAGUGUAAGGUGAGACUGAUGAGAGCUGAGGCUUGAGGAAGAUGCACCAGCCCCCAGGCUAUUGAAAUAGUUCAGUCAAGAAAUGGCAAGGGCCUCACUGGUUAAGGGAGUAGGAGAAGGAGUAGAAAUAGGACAGGAGAAAGUGGACAAAUAUGAGAUAAUUAAAGAAGUUUAGAUAAAGCUUAGGUUAGCUGUGAGCAGGAUGUGGAUGUGGGUGGGAGGACAGGGAUGGAAGGUAACAGGAAACCUCCACCUCCAGUUCCUUACAGGUGACUGCAGAGACACUAAUAUCAUUCAUGGCGACAGACGAAGAACAGGCUUAGGGAACUUUUUCCUACACAUUUUGCAUUUGAGGGACCCCCGUGACACUGAGGGAAUUAUGCCCAUUUUCUGCUAUACUGUUGAGGAAUAUGACACUACUCCGGCAUAUCCUUCUUCUUUUAUGUCUGCUUAAGCAGUAGCAGCAGUGAUACAGCUAUUAAAAUGACAUACAGGCUUUCAGGGACUCUAACAGCAACAGCAAUGGGAGGAAGUUUACCAGAUCAGUGGAAGGAAAUGAAAGAAAAGACAGCUAGUGUUUCCAUGGGGACAUGCCACGUGAGUCAAUAUCCGAAGGUUUCUGUGAGGACGUGCCACACGAGUCAACACUGGAAGGUUAAGCAGGAGUUAGGUGAUACAUGCCAAGGGCUGCAGGGUAUAAAAUACCAUGGAGACUGUGGCAAGAGAUAAGGUUUUGGCGCUAGCAGUAGCAGGUCAUGAAGCACUUACACGCCAUGUUAGAUUGUGUAGACAAUGCGAUACUGCGGGUGGAUUUAGGGAAGAGAAUGAAAUGCUCAGAUGUGAGCUUUAGGAGGGAGACUAUAGGCAGUGAGACCAGUUGGGAGGCUAAGUUUUUUUUCACGUGUGCAGAGCAUCAGUUGUGGAAGGCAGAUAAGAUUAACAGAUAAGCAGGAAGAUCUGGGGCCAAAAGGGUCAAAAGCAUCACAAAUGGCACAUGAGGCAGGUAUUGAGGAUAAAGAGUCAAAGCUAAGACUAUGAGUGAAGACCGUAACUUCACGGUCCCCGUUAAUGACGCCGCUACAUGGUGUAGGAGUAGGUGUGGCAUCUUAAACUCCAAGGAGGAGAGAUG
rnacentral:lncRNA from 1 species